UAGUGUCUUGUGCAAAUAUUCAACUUUAUAUAUUUUUUCAUAAAAUAAGUAAAUUAAUAUAACUAUACAUUUAGAGUGCAGCACAGAUUCAAAUAGCCAAAAUAGAAGCCAAAAUUAUCUCCUUAAUGCUUUUAUUACUUUAGUAGAGAACAGUUUUAUGGUUUUUCCCAAGAGACAGCAUCUUCCUAGAAACAGCAAGUAUGGCUUUUAUGUUUUUCUUAUAUAAACUUAAAGUUAAUACUUGCUAAUUAUAAGUAAUAAAAGUAUUGCUCAGAUAAAAUCUUUAAAAUUUAAAGAGCUUGUUUUUCUUGUUUUUCCAAUUAUUUCUCUCAAGUGAACGUUUGUUUGCAUUAGUAUGACAAAAAUUGAAAUAUGUUUUAUUUAUUCUUUUGUUAUUUAUAACCAAAUGAAAGCAUGGUUUUAAAGUUUACAAUUUUUGAGGACUAUAGUUACCAUUUUGUGGUUAAAAUUAUGGCACUUAAGAACUAUGUUUUCUAACUAAGGGUGACAAGAUAAAAUAUACCUACAAAAUAGAUUUCAUUUACAUUAAAAACAAAUUUUCCACGUGCAAGGCAUUGAUUUCUCUAAAAUAUAAUAACAAAAUGAGCUUUUUAUGGACUAUGUAUCAAAAUAAAUAUUAUACCUGUCAAUAUAUUUUCUAAUGUUUAUAUCAGGACUAGAUAAUUGAAAUAUUUGCAACCAACUAAAAUGUUUUCAUUGGAGAUGAGCAGGCUUCACAGUAAAUUGUGAAUAGCUUUGGAAAUAAUGUAUUUGUUGUGCCUUCCAAAACAGUAUUUUCUAUAAGAGUGGUUGCCUUCCGUUAGACAUUUGCUGUUCCAGAUUUCCCUGGUUUAUUAUAUACAUGUUCAUUGAAAACAACAGUUGUAAAUAGAACAUGGAUGCUUUUCAUUCAUACAAUUAACAAAAUGAUAUAAUCUCACGUUUCAGAAAUAAAACUUUUCUACCAAUCACAAGUCAACUAAAAUAACCAACCCAGGUCCAGCAUACAUAGUUAAACCACUUGCACCUUUUUUAUUGAAGUAUUUAAUAGACAUUUAAUAAUUAAACCAUCCUUUAUGCUAAAAAAAAAUAAAGUCUAAGUGAUUAACAAAGCUGCUAGCAUCUAAAAACUCACAGUCUACUAACCUUCAUAUAAAACAAGUACACAUUUGAGAUAGCAGGUAAAAGAAAACAAAUUUAACAGCUUCUCUCUGAGUUACCAGAGUGGUUUGAAAUGUUUAAGAUACUUUGAUCACAACACGUUGCCAAUGUAAUUAAGUUAGUUCAAAGUAUACGUGUAGGUUAUCAUUUUAUGCUACAAGUUUUUAGAAAUACUUAAUGAUAUCUUAAUUCCCAAAGUUAUCUCUUUUAUGGUAAUGGCUAAUUUUGUCUUUAGUAGAAUUAGAACUACAUUACUAAAUUACUAGUGUCACUGAAUAAGUUAUCUAAAAGAUUACAAAAGCAGAAGUAAUACAAUUCCAUAUCUGAUGACAGAUAUGACUGACUUACAAGAACUGCAUUAAAACCAUUCAGAGUCAGCCAUUUUGUAUUUACAGCAUAAUGUUUGAAGUACAAAAUGAUGAAAUAAUGACACUGAAUAAUAAAAUACUUUCAUGAAUAUUACAGUACUUUUAUAUAGUCUAUUAAAACUAGAAAGUUAUAAGUAUGGAGUAGGCAUUUCCAUUAAUAAAUGUUUGCACAUAACAAUCAAAUAUGCUUUUUGUGCUGAAGUUCCCUCUUACAUCUAAAAAGUGCUGCAAAUAUAAAUCCGUAAACAUGUUCUUAUUUAUAAGUAUGUUGAAUAUUUGAGAGAUGCAACAGAUAAGGCACUGUUUUGGAAAGACUGAAAGUUACAAUAUAACAUUGUCAAAAGUAAAAUUGUCUUAAGAGGACAGAAGUUGUUGGAAUUGUACUUUUAAGUGCAAUCCCUAGUAUAACAUGUCCUUCCUGAUCUUAUUACCAUGGUGGAUUUUAUACUCUUUGCUCUUUUGGGUCCUGCCUCCCAGUUCCCAAAUAAAUACACAAAUGGAGAUUUAUUCUUAGGAAUGCUUGGCUUGUUUCUAGCCACCAUUUUUAAAAUUAUCCCAUCUACUUUUUGCCUCUGGGCUUUUAUCCUUCUCUGUUCUAUAUACCUUCUUUACUUCUUACUCCAUGGCUUGCUGUAUAGCUGGGAGUCUGGCCCAUAGAGUACCCCUCUUCUUCCCCUUUUCUCACUCCUCAAUCCUCUUCCCAGAUUUUUCCUCAUAUUUAUUUUCUCUGAGUGCCAGCCCCACCUAACCUUUCUCCUACCUAGCUAUUGGCCAUUCAGCUCUUUAUUAGAUCAGUCAGGUGUUUUAGACAAAGUAACACAGCUUCACAGAGUUAAACAAAGGCAACAUAAAAGAAUGCAACACAUCUUUGCAUCAUUAAACAAAUGUUUCACAGCAUAAACCAAUAUAACACAUCUUCAACUAAUAUUCAACAACAGAGGGACAUUUAUAAGUUUAAUUAGUGUGGUUAAUGGACCUUAAAACAAAUGUUAAAUGUCCACAUAGUCCAGAGAAUGCAGUGUCCUUCAAAAAAUGGCCCUCAAUAUAUUUCCAUAGAGAUAAUCAAUUUGUUCACUCCUGGCUUUUUAUGAGUAUGCUAUAUUUUCUUACAGUGGAAGAUGUGUUUCUUAGAAAUUUUCAGUCUGAAAUACCACGAAAGAUCUCCUGUUCAAAGAUAAAGGCAACUUGCUCAAGCUCAGCCUCCAAACAGGUAGCAGACAAAACCUUGGCCUUUGAUUAAUGAAAAGAACACCUUGAGAUAGAAAAGACAAAAGCACAAUCAAGAAGGUUCUGAGGAUAUGAGCAAAUAACUUCAAAAAGAACUACAAAGAUCCCUGAGCAAUGUUUAUUUUAUGUUUAUUCUUAGAUAUUCUCCCCAUUCUAUGUCCAUGCAUUUAUUGUCUGUUGUGGCCACAAAUAUUUCAAAGUACCAUGUGAUAUUUGCCCCAUCCAUAUUACUUACAUGUGACAGACUCUGGAAUUAGGAAAAGGACACACUAUAAUGUUCUCUAGACAUACAAAAGUAAAUUUUAUUGUUAAAUAUUCAAAAUGCAGACAUGUUUUCCAACCAGAAAUUCUUCCCUUUAUUUUUAUUCUCAAGAAGAUAGCUUUACCUUUAAAAAUUUUAAGAACAAUUUUAUUUAGUAUUGUGGUGACCAUUUUAGAUUUAAAAGAACCCAUACUUAAUCUAUAUUUUAUUGUUAAUCUUAAUUGUUGUUAUCACUGUCUUGUGAGUAUGGAGCUCAAAAUUAAAAUAGUUAAGACUCA